UACGUAGGGCGCAAGCGUUAUCCGGAAUUAUUGGGCGUAAAGAGCGUGUAGGCGGCCUGACAGGUCUGCUGUGAAAACUCGAGGCUCAACCUCGAGAUGUCGGCGGAAACCGUCUGGCUAGAGUCCGGAAGAGGAGAGUGGAAUUCCUGGUGUAGCGGUGAAAUGCGCAGAUAUCAGGAAGAACACCUAUGGCGAAGGCAGCUCUCUGGGACGGUACUGACGCUGAGACGCGAAAGCGUGGGGAGCGAACAGG
rnacentral:rRNA from 1 species